ensembl:snRNA
AUGUUGUAUGAAAGGAAAGAAGGUUAGCACUUCCCAUGACAAUGAUGGAAGAGGCUUCGGCCUGCAACACAGGUAUGGUUAAGGCAUUGCCACCUACUUUGUGGCAUCUAACCACUGUUUUUC